UUCAGUUCAGUUUAUUUUUGUAUAGUGCUCUCGAUUGAGUGCAGGCCCAGAUCACUGUAACAAAGAAACACUUCUGAAAACCGGGCCCAAGGUAUCAUUUAAAUCCUGAAUUUGGGAUAAUCUGUUUUAAUGAGAUUU